CCUACGGGAGGCAGCAGUGGGGAAUAUUGCACAAUGGGGGGAACCCUGAUGCAGCGACGCCGCGUGAGUGAAGAAGUAUUUCGGUAUGUAAAGCUCUAUCAGCAGGGAAGAAAAUGACGGUACCUGAUUAAGAAGCCCCGGCUAACUACGUGCCAGCAGCCGCGGUAAUACGUAGGGAGCAAGCGUUAUCCGGAUUUACUGGGUGUAAAGGGAGCGUAGACGGCAGGACAAGUCUGGAGUGAAAUGCCGGGGCUUAACCCCGGAACUGCUUUGGAAACUGCGCAGCUGGAGUGCAGGAGAGGUAAGUGGAAUUCCUAGUGUAGCGGUGAAAUGCGUAGAUAUUAGGAGGAACACCAGUGGCGAAGGCGGCUUACUGGACUGUAACUGACGUUGAGGCUCGAAAGCGUGGGGAGCAAACAGGAUUAGAUACCCGUGUAGUC
rnacentral:rRNA from 1 species